GGGGGUGAACAGGGUUCGACCCAAUUAAACGGAUAAAAGCAGCAGGCCGCGGAUGCUAAGUUGGCCGCGUUAAAAAACCUUAGCACACUAUAAACGCCAACACUUUUGUUUUUAACCGGUUACCAAUGGCAACAUUGGUGCCGGCAGGCGUACAAGUCCCUGUCCUCAAUUAAGGAUAGGGCCUCAACCUAAGUUGCCUGUGGCUUAGGUUUGAGUUACAAACAGGAUAGUUGCGGUAAAUUAAGCCUUGGUACCGCAACGAGGUUUAAAAAGGCUUGCGCUCUGAUGUAUCCUGUCUAUCGGAGCCAUCGGAGUUAAGACCAAAAGAUAGACUAAACCUGUAGCGGCUUUUAUGCAGUUUAAUUGGGGACCGGGGUUCGAUUCCCCGCACCUCCACCA
rnacentral:tmRNA from 1 species